rnacentral:rRNA from 1 species
CUCGGCUGCAUGAAGCUGGAAUCGCUAGUAAUCGCGGAUCAGAAUGCCGCGGUGAAUACGUUCCCGGGUCUUGUACACACCGCCCGUCACACCAUAGGAGUCGGGAAUGCCCGAAGUCAGUGACCCAACCGAAAGGGGGGAGCUGCCGAAGGCAGGCCUGGUAACUGGGGUGAAGUCGUAACAAGGUAAC